rnacentral:rRNA from 1 species
AGUGAACGCUGGCGGUAGGCCUAACACAUGCAAGUCGAACGGCAGCACAGUAAGAGCUUGCUCUUACGGGUGGCGAGUGGCGGACGGGUGAGGAAUACAUCGGAAUCUACUUUUUCGUGGGGGAUAACGUAGGGAAACUCACGCUAAUACCGCAUACGACCUACGGGUGAAAGCAGGGGAUCUUCGGACCUUGCGCGAUUGAAUGAGCCGAUGUCGGAUUAGCUAGUUGGCGGGGUAAAGGCCCACCAAGGCGACGAUCCGUAGCUGGUCUGAGAGGAUGAUCAGCCACACUGGAACUGAGACACGGUCCAGACUCCUACGGGAGGCAGCAGUGGGGAAUAUUGGACAAUGGGCGCAAGCCUGAUCCAGCCAUACCGCGUGGGUGAAGAAGGCCUUCGGGUUGUAAAGCCCUUUUGUUGGGAAAGAAAAGCAGCAGGUUAAUACCCCGCCGUUCUGACGGUACCCAAAGAAUAAGCACCGGCUAACUUCGUG